GCUCAAUCAACCCAUAUGCACCUAUGGGUAGGUUCUCAAUCAAUUAUUUUUUCAAACAACUUCUAGUAUUUAAUUUAACCCCAAAGUUUAUUUUAGUGAGCGAUGGGCAUCCACUGAAAGUUUCAGUUAGGUCAAACUAUUAACAUGAACCCACUCAGUGAUUCUACUUAAUGAGUGAUCAGGUUCGAGAUGGCUUGGUCAACCCAACCAUCAUCAGAUAGUUCAAAGAGUCAUCAUAUGAUGAAUGCUAAUUUUAUUAUUCAGAGUGAACACC
rnacentral:lncRNA from 1 species